AGUGAACGCUGGCGGUAGGCCUAACACAUGCAAGUCGAACGGCAGCACAGUAAGAGCUUGCUCUUACGGGUGGCGAGUGGUGGACGGGUGAGGAAUACAUCGGAAUCUACUUUUUCGUGGGGGAUAACGUAGGGAAACUUACGCUAAUACCGCAUACGACCUACGGGUGAAAGCAGGGGAUCUUCGGACCUUGCGCGAUUGAAUGAGCCGAUGUCGGAUUAGCUAGUUAGCGGGGUAAAGGCCCACCAAGGCGACGAUCCGUAGCUGGUCUGAGAGGAUGAUCAGCCACACUGGAACUGAGACACGGUCCAGACUCCUACGGGAGGCAGCAGUGGGGAAUAUUGGACAAUGGGCGCAAGCCUGAUCCAGCCAUACCGCGUGGGUGAAGAAGGCCUUCGGGUUGUAAAGCCCUUUUGUUGGGAAAGAAAAGCAGCAGGUUAAUACCCCGCUGUUCUGACGGUACCCAAAGAAUAAGCACCGGCUAACUUCGUG
rnacentral:rRNA from 1 species